UACGUGGGGGGGCAAGCGUUGUCCGGAUUUAUUGGGCGUAAAGAGCGUGUAGGCGGCUUGGUAGGUCCGCUGUGAAAACUCGAGGCUCAACCUCGAGACGUCGGUUGAAACCGUAUGGCUAGAGUCCGGAAGAGGAGAGUGGAAUUCCCGGUGUAGCGGUGAAAUGCGCAGAUAUCGGGAAGAACACCCGUGGCGAAGGCGGCUCUCUGGGACGGUACUGACGCUGAGACGGCGAAAGCGUGGGGAGCGAACAGG
rnacentral:rRNA from 1 species